rnacentral:rRNA from 1 species
CAGCAGCCGCGGUAAUACGUAGGGUGCAAGCGUUAAUCGGAAUUACUGGGCGUAAAGCGUGCGCAGGCGGUCCGCUAAGACAGAUGUGAAAUCCCCGGGCUUAACCUGGGAACUGCAUUUGUGACUGGCGGGCUAGAGUAUGGCAGAGGGGGGUAGAAUUCCACGUGUAGCAGUGAAAUGCGUAGAGAUGUGGAGGAAUACCGAUGGCGAAGGCAGCCCCCUGGGCCAAUACUGACGCUCAUGCACGAAAGCGUGGGGAGCAAACAGGAUUAGAUACCCCCGUAGUCCUGUCUCUUAUACA